rnacentral:rRNA from 1 species
GGAAUCUUGGACAAUGGGGGCAACCCUGAUCCAGCCAUGCCGCGUGAGCGAUGAAGGCCCUAGGGUUGUAAAGCUCUUUCAGCGGGGAAGAUAAUGACGGUACCCGCAGAAGAAGCCCCGGCUAACUCCGUGCCAGCAGCCGCGGUAAGACGGAGGGGGCGAGGGUUGUUCGGAAUUACUGGGCGUAAAGGGCGCGCAGGCGGGCGCAUAAGUCGGGAGUGAAAUCCCGGGGCUCAACCCCGGAACUGCCUCCGAUACUGUGGGCCUUGAGGACGGGAGAGGUGAGCGGAAUUCCGAGUGUAGAGGUGAAAUUCGUAGAUAUUCGGAGGAACACCGGUGGCGAAGGCGGCUCACUGGCCCGAUCCUGACGCUGAGGCGCGAAAGCGUGGGGAGCAAAC